UCAGGGAUUCAGUGCAGGAUGGAGAACUGUACUGUGGCAAUUUUCUUCUGUCUGUUGGCUUUUCAGUCUGUCUGGGAUGCUCCCUCUUGGAUCCUUUGUUUGAGAUUAUUAUGAAAUGCACACUCAGAACAGAGCUGGAAGCGUUCCUCUUGGUGCUGUGAACAGUGAGGUCAUAGAGCCAGGAUUACACACAUUUCCUGGAGAAACAGGCAGGGUUUCAGUCAAGUUUCUAUGGCCCUUGACACCCCUUCAGCUUUGAGCCACUUGUGGAGAGAAAAAAAGAAUGGAUAGAAAAACCCAUCUGUGAGACACCCAGUGCCUGUGUGUGUGUGAAAAGAUCCCCAGCUGGGCAAGGAACUGAAAUCAAUGAGAAACAAUUUGUUGCUCCUGCAGCGAAGCUCUGACAAGUCAUCUGCUUGGACAGCUGCCGGGUGCCAGCUCUGUGCACAGUGUCACCUCUUACGAUGCCUGUAGUAUCCAAACCCAUUCUGCUAAGCAAAGAAUCUUUGGAGUCCACCUCACCACACAUUUGCUGUCUGAAGGAUCCAUGUAGAAGUCCAGACUGCCUUCACAACCACUGGAAAGCAAAGCCGUCCUCCUGUUCUCCCUUGGAUAAAAACAAACACAGCUUCUCUAGCAGUCCGCCACGUUGUCUUCACCUCUCAUAUCCAACCCCUGGGCUCUACGCAGAGCAGCCCCAGAUCUGUUUUUCCUCAGCAUCAUUCAGCAGAGCCCAGGGGGUGAUGAGGAGCAGCGCAUUGGGGAGGACGGAUGGACACAGCAUGCAGCGAUUGCUGGUGCUCAGGUAGAGCACUCUGAGCUAUCACACUUCUCCCAAAGCUUCUUGCCAGCAGGGCUUACAAAGAGUGUUCAGCAGCCUUGUUAAUAGUGUCAGCUCUGUUCCUUCCCUCAUCAUUUCUGGACCACUGAGAGGCUAAAAUAUGAACUGAGACGCUGAUGAAUUUGAGGCUGAAUUCUUCUAAUUCGUUACUGGCUGUGUUCCUAUUUGCAUCCAUAACUCCACUCGAGUUAAUUCAGAGAAUUUAUAGCUUUGGCUCUGUCAGGUGCUUUGAAAAGUCUCUAUUGGCUCCUCAUUAAUGGGACAUUUUUCUGGAGCCUAAUACCUAAGCAGGAUUUUUUAAUAGGGAGAAAAUACAUCAAAAUAAGCGGCCUCACUGCCUUCCUCUGGGCAUUCAUCAGCAACAGCAGUGGGUCAGCCACAGCCACUCCUGCAAGAGAAGGUGACACCUGGCUGCAUGCAACAUGGGGCUUUUUUUAGCCACCAGCACUCCUGAGAGCUCGAGCUGAUGAUCUGAGCAAGCUUUGCUUCUUUUAUCUCCAUCUUCCUCCACGCUCAUCUAUCAGCAGAUUUGACCUUGCAGCUCCUUGUCGGAGGCUCGCUGCUGCUGACAAGGAAAGAGCCUGCCUUUAUUUCUUCUCCAGGUUAAUAGGAAUCUACAUCUUGUUUUAUUUUAUACCUGAAAAUAGUGCAUCUCUCAGUCUAUCUCAGCCUGUUGUUUUGGUUUAUUUUUUUCUGUAUGUCUACCUGCACUUAAACACUUCUCUGUUGUCGUAUCUGAGCAUCAAUCUGUUACAGGCAAAAGAAGUAAAAUAAACUUUCAUAUCAGCAAAGUAAAUAUCACUGCCAGUUGAGUGUGCUCUGAGCCAGGAGUGUUAUGACCUCCUGUAGCUUAAAGAUAUGACAAACAUAAGUGCAGGGCUGAGAUAGAAGUGGGACUCUGUGGGCAGUAUGGGCAGUGGUUUCUCACUUCUUGCACAAAUUCCUGCUCACAUCAGUGCUUUUUUGCCCCUCGUGAGGUGGCUCUGCUUGUGAAAGGUCAUGGUUAGGGUGCUGAGUACUGAUUUGAUUUAGUGCUGGGAGAGGAUGAUCAUUCAUGAUUAAUCCCUAUGUCUUUUGCUCCUCUUUGCCAUUUGUAAGCAAACACAUCUGUGUAUUUCUCAGGAAUCAGUGAAGAGUACACCUCCAAUUCUGAGAAAUAUUUCUUACCAUUAGAAGUAUGUACAGGAAUACAGCUUCUUUUUGAGAAGCUGAAAUUAUUUUGCUUUGUUGUUUUCAUAUUGAAGCAUUUUGAAUUCCCCUUAAAAGUGUCUUGUCUGGAAAUUUAGCUUUUCUUAGCGAUUUUCAAUUAUCUCAAAUAGCCAAAAAUUAGCUGUGUACUUAACUCAAGCAUUGGCAGGAAGGACAAAGGAACAAGAAUGAGCAGAAAAAAGGGUCUCAGGCGAUGUUCCUUCCCUUCAGAGACACAACAAUCAAGCAAACAGCAGUGCUGACAGCAGUAUUCUCAAGGGGCAGCCGCAGAACCACCGGAUGGUGCAUCUUGCCAAGGCAGGAGCACAGAGCACAGAGCUUGUGUCUCUGCCAGUGAUGUGCCCUCAUUCUGAGGCUGAAAUUCAAAGUAAAUAAUGAUUUAAUAGGAGAGGGUUUCAUUUAAACCAUUCUUUGUAUUCUGAGUAAGAACCGUGGAGCAUUUUGUUUGAAGCAUUUGGGAGCAGCAGCCACGUGGGCCAUUUAUUCUGUUAAGGAAUCAAAACGAGCCUCUUACCUUUUCAUCUUGGCUUCCUUCCCCUCUUUAAUUCUUUUGUCCUCAAUGCUUUUUAUUGAUCCUUUCAAUCCCAGAGGAGAACGAAGCAGCACUUGAAGUAUGUUUUUCCUCACCUUCUCCAAUGGCCAUCAGGAUGCUUUGCAGAGACGCACAGGAGGCAGAAAUUGUUCAAUUCCUCCCAUCACAAUGGCUUUGCCCUCGAGUCCCAGCAGGUUGCCUGGCUCUUUGGAUGUAUUUGUAUUGGUCGGAAUGAGAAGUUUAACCAACAAAUGCCAAACAUCAAAUGCACCACAGAAAAUGAUGCUGAGAAUCAAGACAUCGUUGCAGGAUAGGGCAAAGUCACUGGUGGUUCCAGUGUCCAUUCCAAGGUGGGCUGCUGUAAGCAGGCAGUGCUGGCUCACACUGCUUGAACUGCUGGAGCUGCUUGGACAGCAGGGUUGGUUUUCCAUGGAACCUUUCAAAACAAUUGACCAACUCCUGCCGUGCUGAGUGGGAAGGUGGGCACACAGCAGGAGGGUGGACAUAACCUCGUGCCCAAGGUACACCUUCCCCAUGGCAACGCCAUGCAUUUUCACUAGGAGGAUUCCAUUCCAUUCUCAAAUUAUUUCUUUAUUUUCAGAGAGUACAUAUCCGUGCGAGAGCUGUUUUUUGGCAGCAAAGGGCAGAAGAAAAAAAGAUAGCAAAAUUGUAUGUGGGAAGCAGACACACUUUGCAGAGAUUUUUUUUAAGCACUUCCAAGUAAAUAUUUCCAGGAACACCCAAAAUUAAGUUGGGAAAAAAUAGAACUGCCUGAAAAGCAAAGGAGGGAAUUUCCUAGUCCCCAAAUACACAUCCUUCAUGGUUUCCUAGUCCCCAAGUACACAUCCUUUAUGAUUUCAAUUAGUAGGAAUCAGAAUUCCCUGCUUCAGCUCAGCAGCUCUGUGGGACUGCUCAUCCCCAUGCACUGUGUACAAACAGCCCUGAGUUCUGUACUGCUGCUUCCCACCUCCUGCUUGGUCAGCCCUGUGGUCUCGCUUCUCUAAAGCAAAUUUGUGUGAUUCUCUCUGGCCUCUUGCCUGAAGCCUCCUGUAGAGGAGUGUGAUUGAUUAUUGCUGUUAGCAGUGAGGUGUGCUUAAGCCUGAACUGAGCCCCAAAUGGGCUUUGCUUGAGCAUGCACAGGCUGUCCCAGCUCUUUGCAGUCACCCAGGGGAAUUGAUAGCUGCACGAGGGAGUUAAUCUCUUACUGUGAGAGUAGUGAGGUGCUGGAACAGCUGCCCAGAGAGGCUGUGGAUGCCC